rnacentral:misc_RNA from 1 species
GAUGAAGAACGCAGCGAAAUGCGAUAAGUAAUGUGAAUUGCAGAAUUCAGUGAAUCAUCGAAUCUUUGAACGCACAUUGCGCCCGUCAGUAUUCUGGCGGGCAUGCCUGUUCGAGCGUCAUUACGCCCCUCAAGUCCCCUGUGGACUUGGUGUUGGGGAUCGGCGAGGCUGGUUUUCCAGCACAGCCGUCCCUUAAAUUAAUUGGCGGUCUCGCCGUGGCCCUCCUCUGCGCAGUAGUAAAACACUCGCAACAGGAGCCCGGCGCGGUCCACUGCCGUAAAACCCCCAACUUUUUAUAGUUGACCUCGAAUCAGGUAGGACUACCCGCUGAACUUAAGCAUAUCAAUAAGCGGAGGA